rnacentral:misc_RNA from 1 species
GUGAAUCAUCGAAUUUUUGAACGCAUAUUGCACUCUCUUGUAUUCCUGAGAGUAUGCCUGUUUGAUGGUAAUUAAAAACAAUCUUUAACCAAUUUUUUGUUCAAAGGAAAUGAGUUCUCCGCUUUUAUAGCGAUAGCUUGAAAUAAAUGGUCAAGUCUCAUUUUAGUCGAUUCACGUAAUAAUAUUAUUUCUCGAAAUUUUUUUUAUGUUACUAUCAAGUUUUGAUUCAUACAAAUUUGGUUUGUAUGCGAUCAAUACAAAUAUUUUUAACAUUACCUCAAAUCAGGUAGGAAUAACCG